ensembl:snoRNA
CGACAGUGAUGAGCAAUUAUCCCGAAGCUGAAACCUGUUGAUGCCACCAAAAUUACGGAUCUGAGUGCUGAGUC